GACGAACGCUGGCGGCGUGCUUAACACAUGCCAGUCGAACGGAAAGGCCCUGCUUUUGUGGGGUGCUCGAGUGGCGAACGGGUGAGUAACACGUGAGUAACCUGCCCUUGACUUUGGGAUAACUUCAGGAAACUGGGGCUAAUACCGGAUAGGAGCUCCUGCUGCAUGGUGGGGGUUGGAAAGUUUCGGCGGUUGGGGAUGGACUCGGGGCUUAUCAGCUUGUUGGUGGGGUAGUGGCUUACCAAGGCUUUGACGGGUAGCCGGCCUGAGUGGGUGACCGGCCACAUUGGGACUGAGAUACGGCCCAGACUCCUACGGGGGGCAGCAGUGGGGAAUAUUGCACAAUGGGCGGAAGCCUGAUGCAGCAACGCCGCGUGCGGGAUGACGGCCUUCGGGUUGUAAACCGCUUUCGCCUGUGACGAAGCGUGAGUGACGGUAAUGGGUAAAGAAGCACCGGCUAACUACGUG
rnacentral:rRNA from 1 species